GACGAACGCUGGCGGCGUGCCUAAUACAUGCAAGUUGAGCGAUGAAGAUUGGUGCUUGCACCAAUUUGAAGAGCAGCGAACGGGUGAGUAACGCGUGGGGAAUCUGCCUUUGAGCGGGGGACAACAUUUGGAAACGAAUGCUAAUACCGCAUAAUAACUUUAAACAUAAGUUUUAAGUUUGAAAGAUGCAAUUGCAUCACUCAAAGAUGGUCCCGCGUUGUAUUAGCUAGUUGGUGAGGUAAAGGCUCACCAAGGCGAUGAUACAUAGCCGACCUGAGAGGGUGAUCGGCCACAUUGGGACUGAGACACGGCCCAAACUCCUACGGGAGGCAGCAGUAGGGAAUCUUCGGCAAUGGACGAAAGUCUGACCGAGCAACGCCGCGUGAGUGAAGAAGGUUUUCGGAUCGUAAAACUCUGUUGGUAGAGAAGAACGUUGGUGAGAGUGGAAAGCUCAUCAAGUGACGGUAACUACCCAGAAAGGGACGGCUAACUACGUG
rnacentral:rRNA from 1 species